GACGAACGCUGGCGGCGUGCUUAACACAUGCAAGUCGUACGGUAAGGCCCUUUCGGGGGUCCACGAGUGGCGAACGGGUGAGUAACACGUGAGUAACCUGCCCACCACUUUGGGAUAACGCUAGGAAACUGGUGCUAAUACUGGAUAUGUGACCAUGCUGCAUGGUGUGGGUUGGAAAGCUCCGGCGGUUGUGGAUGGACUCGCGGCCUAUCAGCUUGUGGGUGGGGUAGUGGCCUACCAAGGGGGCGACGGGUAGCAGGCCAGAGAGGGUGACCGGCCACAUUGGGACUGAGAUACGGCCCAGACUCCUACGGGAGGCAGCAGGGGGGAAUAUUGCACGAUGGGCGCCAGCCUGAUGCAGAAACGCCGCGGGCGGGAUGACGGUCUUCGGGGUGUAAACCGCUUUCAGCAGGGACGAAGCUUUUUGUGACGGUACCUGCAGAAGAAGCACCGGCUAACUACGUG
rnacentral:rRNA from 1 species